CGGCGGACGGGUGCGUAACACGUAGGAAUCUACCCAGUAGCGGGGGAUAGCCCGGAGAAAUCCGGAUUAAUACCGCAUACGCCCUACGGGGGAAAGCAGGGGAUCUUCGGACCUUGCACUAUUGGAUGAGCCUGCGUCGGAUUAGCUAGUUGGUGGGGUAAAGGCCUACCAAGGCAACGAUCCGUAGCUGGUCUGAGAGGAUGAUCAGCCACACUGGGACUGAGACACGGCCCAGACUCCUACGGGAGGCAGCAGUGGGGAAUAUUGCACAAUGGGCGCAAGCCUGAUGCAGCCAUGCCGCGUGUGUGAAGAAGGCUCUAGGGUUGUAAAGCACUUUCAGCGAGGAGGAAAGGUUGAUGAUUAAUACUCAUUAGCUGUGACGUUACUCGCAGAAGAAGCACCGGCUAACUCCGUGCCAGCAGCCGCGGUAAU
rnacentral:rRNA from 1 species